GAUGAACGCUGGCGGCGUGCCUAAUACAUGCAAGUCGAGCGAACGGACGAGAAGCUUGCUUCUCUGAUGUUAGCGGCGGACGGGUGAGUAACACGUGGAUAACCUACCUAUAAGACUGGGAUAACUUCGGGAAACCGGAGCUAAUACCGGAUGAUAUUUUGAACCGCAUGGUUCAAAAGUGAAAGACGGUCUUGCUGUCGCUUAUAGAUGGAUCCGCGCUGCAUUAGCUAGUUGGUAAGGUAACGGCUUACCAAGGCAACGAUGCAUAGCCGAACUGAGAGAGUGAUCGGCCACACUGGAGCUGGGACACGGUCCAGACUCCUACGGGAGGCAGCAGUAGGGAAUCGUACGCAAUAGGCGAAAGCCUGACGGAGCAACGCCGCGUGAGUGAUGAAAGUCUUCGGAUCGUAAAACUCUGUUAUGAGGGAAGAACAUAUGUGUAAGUAACUGUGCACAUCUUGACGGUACCUAAUCAGAAAGCCACGGCUAACUACGUG
rnacentral:rRNA from 1 species